rnacentral:tRNA from 1 species
ACUCUUGUAGCUCAGUUGGUUUAGAGCACCUGUUUAGUAAGCGGGAGGAAUUUGAGUUCAACUCUCAACAAGAGCA